rnacentral:lncRNA from 1 species
GGUCGAUUGAUAUUUGUAUGUCUCCUGAGUAUCAUCUCUAUCUUUUACUAUUCAUCUUUAAUCUUUAUUAACUUUUCAGCUAGAAUCAUUUAAGAUUUUAUCUACUGAAUAAUUUAGGAAAUAAAACGUAGUACUCAGAGAUGAAUGUUCAUAAAGGUCUUUAGUUUUCUCGUUUAAAAUGUUUUACAUUUGUCGUUUUUGUGCUUUUUAUAGCCGACGGUAAUGUGUUGCAUCAUGUUAGAAGAGCGUACGAUUACCUAUAGCUGUUCACUUUGGUGGUAUUUUGUCUCAUUUGCAAUCAUAACACAUUUAAUACUUAUUAUGUUAUUUCAGGAGUUAAUAAAAAGAAAAUGUUAUGUGAAUGUCCAAAAAGCUUAGUUAAUACAAAAUGGAAUUUUCU